rnacentral:lncRNA from 1 species
CCUUCCUUUAAAUAGGUGAAGCAUCCAUGAUCUAAUCAAAGACCUAAUUGAAAUAGGGCUCAAACCUAAUCCAACAAGGAGAACGAUUAAGAAAAGAAGAGCACCUCCUUUCUUCAUGCGCGCACAUCUAAUGGGGCAGAAAUAAUAGCACUCCACUCCUUUUGGUGGGCAAUAAUGAGAGAGAGUCCUAGGUAUUUGGGACUCUUUGGUUCUAAACCAAAUGUCUUCAGAUUUGACUCAAUUUGGAUUUGAUUUGAAUCCAAUUCGAGUC